ACAAAGGCCCUUUUCAGGGCCAAACAAAAUGUGCUUUGGAACGUG
rfam:Ixodes scapularis strain Wikel colony gcontig_1107729102390, whole genome shotgun sequence.